UAAGGCGUCCUGAGGCGUCGCGUAGGCGUCCUGGGGCAUCGCCUAGGUGCUGAAAUCGCCGCUUCGAUCCAUUCUGGACGCUCUCGAGCAGGAAACAGAGAUCGGGCGGGAGAAACCAAAAUUGGCAGGCAUGGGCGGGAGAGGAAGUGAAAUUGGAGGGAAAUUGGAGUAGGGGGAGAGAGGGGAACACCAGGAGCUCCCGCCCAUCCACCUCCGCCG
rnacentral:lncRNA from 1 species